UGCAGCCUCCCUCUCUGCAUCUCCCAUCUUUGAAUUGAAGCUCUCAUCUCUAUAGAACAAAAGUUCGAUCGAAUUGGGAUCGAAUGGAAUUGGGAAGUUAAUUGGGUCUGUGCUGCCAAAUUUAGAGAAGGCUUCGGUGUAUAACAACAGGUAAUGCACCGAGUAAACGCUCUCGUGUGCAAACUACUGAUCAGCCAUGCCCAAAUGGAUCCCGUUCUACUUCAGGUAGUGCAAUGAGUAAACGCUCUUGUGUGCAAACUACUGAUCAGCCACGUGAAAAUUCUGUAGAAGAUGGACUCAAUUCCUCGCUAUAGGCUAUAGAAUGUAUAACGACAAAAAUAAAUUUCAUC